GCGGAGGACGGCAAUAGGAACUGGAGCACCUUAAUGGGGUCGGUGCCUUGUUGAGAAGAAGAGGCGAGGGGACAGAGAGGGUUCCGGCUGCCCCGCGGCAGCGAGAGGCCGUUCUACAAACCCCAGCUGAGGCUGUCUAGGUCAGGUGGACGAAGUGGUGCGGCCUCAGAUACCUUCAGGGAGCCGGACCUCUCACGUCCACUGCACAAAAGGUGAUUAAGAGGAGAUGUCGGACAAGAAUAACUAAACCAAAAGGAAAAGGAGCAGACAUCCGACGGUCAAGACUUGUGACCGGGAGAUCGGCACUACUCCGGCCAGCUCAUCGUCCGAAGAGAAGCGUAGCGGUUACCCCUUUAGACUGCACGGCCCUUUGAUCCGCCGCGGUCCGUUUCGCAAUCUAAGGGGGACUUAAACUGCCCUAAGUCCACACUAGACUUCGAUGGUUGCCGACCUGACCUCCUCCGAAAGUGAACUACUCAACGGAUUUUCUACAAGGCUGUGAGUCUCCACUGUUAGUGUGACUCACCUCCUUCUUUCAACUUAACCGUAGACAGACACGACUAGACCUGACCCAAGACCUACUUGGUGUCGGCCAGUCUGGAUGUCUCGGUCAUUCUCUCCGGUGACUACUACUACGACGCACCCGAUUUUUCUUCCCCCUAAUACGAGGAAACCUCUACAGUAUGUAGUAUCUUUUGGUUUUCACCCAGCUACGUUUGUUUUUCACGUACCGUAAAUAUUUCUUAUGUUAACUCUCGUAGUAACACCCGAGGUAACGGCUCACGUGAAGGCGUCCCCUCAACGAAUGUUUCUAUUUCUCGGUCAAGUGACCGAGAAGUUUCUAUAUACGGUGGGUCCACAAUCUCGUUGACCACUGUCUUGCGAUGUGUCCACCAUCAGUACCUUAAUCUCUCCUGUAGGAGUCCUACUCGUUAUACCAUCGUUUCGAUUUCGGGUACCUACUCCUAAACCUCUAGUUUGGUUUCGAGGACCAGGUAGACCAGUACCGGAGUGACGGUUUCCUCAAACUUUGAAAACAACAUUUGAUGUUAUACAGUGGACCUUGGACCCUGUAACUUUUCUGUUAUCGUUACACACAGGUUCUUUUCCUGUCUGAGUUUCAGAGUGUACCACCAAGUGAGUUGACACACUUCCUAGUGUUCUUUUUCUUAAUGUUAGUUUUAUUGUUUUCAAGAGGAAGUUUCGGUGUUCCUUUUCGAGGGAUAGUCGCAGUCGUUGUCGGAAAGGGUCACCUGUUUCUGUGAACAGAGGUGACAUUCUUCUGGCCUGUAAUGUUCUUUCUGACGGGACAGACCGAUUUCAGGAAUUACCGUUUCGUUCCUCGUUGACAAGCCCCUAAGGUAAGCUGGGUCUGAUGCGAUUCUUCUCUUUCUCCGUAACUUCAUCGAUUACCUUAAGUUCGCCUUCAACUUCGACAGCCGCGGUAGAAGAACCUCAAUCGACUACCUAAGUUCGAAGAUGAAUCUCUACAAGAAAUACAAGGAAGUACAUUAUCUUUGAAUUAAUCACAAAGUACAAACCUGUUUCUAUUAAUACUCACAAUAAAACCUGUACCGUUCACACGGUAUACCAUAUUAUUACGAAUACACCCACUACGAAAUGAUGUGCUA
rnacentral:rRNA from 1 species